GAUGAACGCUAGCGAUAGGCUUAACACAUGCAAGUCGAGGGGCAGCAUGGUCUUAGCUUGCUAAGACUGAUGGCGACCGGCGCACGGGUGCGUAACGCGUAUGCAACUUGCCUCACAGAGGGGGAUAACCCGUCGAAAGACGGACUAAUACCGCGUACACUCCAUCUUGGGCAUCCAAGGUAGAGGAAAUGAAAUUCGCUGUGAGAUAGGCAUGCGUCCCAUUAGCUAGUUGGUGAGGUAACGGCUCACCAAGGCGACGAUGGGUAGGGGAACUGAGAGGUUGAACCCCCACACUGGUACUGAGACACGGACCAGACUACUACGGGAGGCAGCAGUGAGGAAUAUUGGUCAAUGGGCGAGAGCCUGAACCAGCCAAGUCGCGUGAAGGAUGACUGUCUUAUGGAUUGUAAACUUCUUUUAGACGGGAAUAACAAGAGUCACGUGUGACUCCCUGCAUGUACCGGAUGAAUAAGCAUCGGCUAACUCCGUG
rnacentral:rRNA from 1 species